AGAAAAUUAGUUAAAAAAUAACAUUAAUAUGUCAUAUUAAAAUUAUUAAAUAAAUUAAUAUUUUCUA
rnacentral:tRNA from 1 species